UUGUGAACCAGAAAGUGGGCCCUUGCCAGACAGCAAAUCUGCCAGUGUUUUGAUCUUGGACUUCCCAGCUUCUGGGACUGUGAGAAACAAAAUUCUGUUGUUUUUAUGCCACACAGUCUAUGGUAUUCUGUUACAGUAGCCCAAACAGACUUAGACACACACAAAAAAGUCAUUCUUUCAAUUAGAGCCACGGCGGGAAACAGAGGGCCCACUUGAAGGAGUAUUUCAGAAGUCAUUAAUAACCAGCGCAUUUCUCAGGGAGUGGGCAGUGUUAGAAAUAGUAAUAAGGCAUGGUGAGCCCUGCAGGGCUGACGGCAGGGUGAAGCCACGCAAAAAAAAAAAAAAAAAAAAUGGCUAAAGGGGACUGCAGCCUAUGAGAGCUGAAGCAUGGAUGGGGCUACCUGACAGGACCUCUGGCUGUAGGGAGAGCAGCCACAUCCAGGCAGUGGCCCAACGGGGAGGGAACAGGGUAAUGAAAUCCCACCCCUCUCUGCUUCUGCCCCAUGACAGCCUGCUGGAUGGAGCCUCUUCCUGUGUGGCUGAAACCAACAGGAAGCUGGAAGGCAAAGGGGUCCAGAGAUGCAUCCCUAGAGAUUGCCCUCCUAGGGCACAAAGCAGGAUGCAGUGUGUGGAAAUGGAUCGGGGGAUGGAAAAGGAGAUAAUUUGGUUCAUCGAUGGAAAGGAGUUGCCUUGUCUAAGAUGAGACUUUGGACUGUGGACUUUUGAGUUAAUGCUGAAACGAGUUAAGACUUUGGGGGACUGUUGGGAAGGCAUGAUUGGUUUUGAAACGUGAGGACAUAAAAUUUGGGAGGGACCAGGGGCAGAAUGAUGUGGUUUGGCUGUGUCCCCACCCAAAUCUCAUCUUGAAUUGUAGCUCCCAUAAUUCCCCCAUGGUGUUGGAGGGAGCUGGUGGGAGAUAAUUGAAUCAUGGGGGUGGUUUCCCCCAUACUAUUCUCAUGGUAGUGAAUAAGUCUUGAGAUCUGAUGGUUUGAUAAGGGGUUUCCCCUUUCACUUGGCUCUGAUGUUCUCUCUUGCCUGCCACUAGGUAAGACAUGCCUUUCACCUUCUGCUUUGAUUGCGAGGCCUCCCAAGCCAUGUGGAACUGAGUCCAUUAGACCUUUUUUUCUUUAUAAAUUACCCAGUCUUGGUAAUGUCUUUAUCAGCAGUGUGAAAAUGGACUAAUAUAGUUCCAAAGAAGGGGAAGACUUUAUAACUGUUGAAACCUGAUAUAAAUAUUGUAUAAUAUAAAAGCUACAUAAGUAUUACAUAAUAAAAUUACCUAAAGGUACAUAAAAUGAGCUAUAUAUAUUAUCAAACAUCAUUCAUGGUUUUAUUUGCUUUAUAAUAAUGUAAAAACCUCACCUCCUUCAUCAAGGGAGCAAUAUAAAAGACAAAAUGAGUAUCAGCUUGGGGCGGAAACUAUUGCCAUCAUAUCCAGAUUAUUUGUUUUUCCCUUCAACUAAUUUCUACAAGUAGUAUCUCUGGCAAGUCAGAGUAGUAUCUCUGCCUCAAUGACUCACCCACACCCGGAUCCACACCGAGAGAGAGAAAUUUGGAGAGAGCCACCUCCCUCUACCACCUCCUUUCAAAUUGUUCUUUCCAAAACCCUAAUCAGGCUCCAGACCCUUCAGAAAACCUUUCAGAAAAUACUUUUCUUUUGCUAGAAAUCCUUCUGCAUGGUACAGGUUGAGUUCCCUCUUCCAAAAUGCUUGGGACCAGAGUGUUUUGGAUUUCAGAUUUUUUUUUUUUUGAUUUUGGAAUAUUUGCAUUAUACCAGUUCAGCAUCCUUAAUCUGAAAAUCCAAAAUCUGAGAUGCUCCAAUGAGCAUUUUCUUUGAGCAUCAUGUCUGUGCUCAAAAAGUUUCAGAGUUUGGAACAUUCUGGAUUUCAGACUUUUGGAUUAGGGAUGCUUAACCCC
rnacentral:lncRNA from 10 species